GAUGAACGCUGGCGGCGUGCCUAAUACAUGCAAGUCGAGCGAACGGACGAGAAGCUUGCUUCUCUAAUGUUAGCGGCGGACGGGUGAGUAACACGUGGAUAACCUACCUAUAAGACUGGGAUAACUUCGGGAAACCGUAGCUAAUACCGGAUAAUAUUUUGAACCGCAUGGUUCAAAAGUGAAAGACGGUCUUGCUGUCACUUAUAGAUGGAUCCGCGCUGCAUUAGCUAGUUGGUAAGGUAACGGCUUACCAAGGCAACGAUGCAUAGCCGACCUGAGAGGGUGAUCGGCCACACGGGAACUGAGACACGGUCCAGACUCCUACGGGAGGAAGCAGUGGGGAAUCUUCGGCAAUGGGCGAAAGCCUGACGGACCAACGCCGCGGGAGUGAUGAAGGUCUUCGGAUCGUAAAACUCUGUUAUGGGGGAAGAACAUAUGUGUAAGUACCUGUGCACAUCUUGACGGUACCUAAUCAGAAAGCCACGGCAAACUACGUG
rnacentral:rRNA from 1 species